rnacentral:rRNA from 1 species
AAUAGAUACCCGGGUAGUCCACGCCGUAAACGAUGAAUACUAGGUGUAGGGGUUGUCAUGACCUCUGUGCCGCCGCAAACGCAUUAAGUAUUCCGCCUGGGGAGUACGGUCGCAAGAUUAAAACUCAAAGGAAUUGACGGGGGCCCGCACAAGCAGCGGAGCAUGUGGUUUAAUUCGAAGCAACGCGAAGAACCUUACCUAGACUUGACAUCUCCUGAAUUACUCUUAAUCGAGGAAGUCCCUUCGGGGACAGGAAGACAGGUGGUGCAUGGUUGUCGUCAGCUCGUGUCGUGAGAUGUUGGGUUAAGUCCCGCAACGAGCGCAACCCUUAUUGUUAGUUGCUACCAUUAAGUUGAGCACUCUAGCAAGACUGCCCGGGUUAACCGGGAGGAAGGUGGGGAUGACGUCAAAUCAUCAUGCCCCUUAUGUCUAGGGCUACACACGUGCUACAAUGGCAAGUACAAAAGAUGCAAUACCGCAAGGUGGAGCUAAACUUAAAAACUUGUCUCAGUUCGGAUUGUAGGCUGAAACUCGCCUACA